rnacentral:misc_RNA from 1 species
CGCUGAAAGCAUUGGAGUUUCCCCACUUCCCAUGAGCUGUACACAUUUCCAUGUGUUAUCAAAUUGUCAAGCCGAAAGAGUAAACACUUGACAAGACUGGGUAUCAAUGAUCCAGAAGNNNNNACAUUUAUGUGCUCAAAUUUGCUGUCAGUAUGGUUGACCAUAACACCACCAGAUGCAAGACAGGGCACUGGGUCUUCCUUCCUUCCAGAACAUUCCUCCAAGAACUCCCA